rnacentral:rRNA from 1 species
UACGGAGGGUGCAAGCGUUAUCCGGAUUUACUGGGUUUAAAGAGUGCGUAGGUGGGUUGGGAAGUCAGUGGUGAAAUACCUUCGCUUAACGAAGGAACUGCCAUUGAUACUAUCAAUCUUGAAUGCAGUGGAGGCAGGCGGAAUGUGUCAUGUAGCGGUGAAAUGCUUAGAUAUGACACAGAACACCUAUUGCGAAGGCAGCUUGCUACACUGUGAUUGACACUGAGGCACGAAAGCGUGGGGAUCAAACAGG